rnacentral:rRNA from 1 species
GGGAUAUCACUUGGAAACAGGUGCUAAUACCGCAUAACCAUAGUUACCGCAUGGUAACUAUGUAAAAGGUGGCUAUGCUACCGCUUUUGGAUGGGCCCGCGGCGCAUUAGCUAGUUGGUGGGGUAAAGGCUUACCAAGGCAAUGAUGCGUAGCCGAACUGAGAGGUUGAUCGGCCACAUUGGGACUGAGACACGGCCCAAACUCCUACGGGAGGCAGCAGUAGGGAAUCUUCCACAAUGGGCGAAAGCCUGAUGGAGCAACGCCGCGUGGGUGAAGAAGGUCUUCGGAUCGUAAAACCCUGUUGUUAGAGAAGAAAGUGCGUGAGAGUAACUGUUCACGUUUCGACGGUAUCUAACCAGAAAGCCACGGCUAACUACGUGCCAGCAGCCGCGGUAAUACGUAGGUGGCAAGCGUUAUCCGGAUUUAUUGGGCGUAAAGGGAACGCAGGCGGUCUUUUAAGUCUGAUGUGAAAGCCUUCGGCUUAACCGGAGUAGUGCAUUGGAAACUGGGAGACUUGAGUGCAGAAGAGGGGAGUGGAACUCCAUGUGUAGCGGUGAAAUGCGUAGAUAUAUGGAAGAACACCAGUGGCGAAAGCGGCUCUCUGGUCUGUAACUGACGCUGAGGUUCGAAAGCGUGGGUAGCAAACAGGAUUAGAUACCCUGGUAGUCCACGCCGUAAAC